rnacentral:rRNA from 1 species
CCCUUAGAUGUUCUGGGCCGCACGCGCGCUACAAUGGCAGACUCAGCGAGUUACCUCUGUCGAAAGGCACAGGGAAUCUUUACAGUAUCUGCCGUGAUGGGGAUAGACCCUUGUAAUUUUUGGUCUUCAACGAGGAAUUCCUAGUAAACGCAAGUCGUUAACUUGCAUUGAUUACGUCCCUGCCCUUUGUACACACCGCCCGUCGCACCUACCGAUUGAAUGGUCCGGUGAAGUCCUCGGACCCAGUUGAACCUCGAGUUGAACAGGGAAAGUUGACUAAAUCUUACCAUUUAGAGGAAGGUGAAGUCGUAACA